rnacentral:rRNA from 1 species
CAGCCGCCACGGUAAUACGAAGGGUGCAAGCGUUAAUCGGAAUCACUGGGCGUAAAGCGUGCGUAGGCGGUUUGUUAAGUCCGCUGUGAAAUCCCCGGGCUCAACCUGGGAAUGGCAAUGGAUACUGGCAAGCUAGAGUGUGUCAGAGGAUGGUGGAAUUCCCGGUGUAGCGGUGAAAUGCGUAGAGAUCGGGAGGAACAUCAGUGGCGAAGGCGGCCAUCUGGGACAACACUGACGCUGAGGCACGAAAGCGUGGGGAGCAAACAGGAUUAGAUACCCGCGUAGUCCCUGUCUCUUAUAC